CAGUCGCCGCGGUAAUACAGAGGGUGCAAGCGUUAAUCGGAAUUACUGGGCGUAAAGCGCGCGUAGGUGGUUCGCCAAGUUGGAUGUGAAAUCCCCGGGCUCAACCUGGGAACUGCAUCCAAAACUGGCGAGCUAGAGUAUGGUAGAGGGUGGUGGAAUUUCCUGUGUAGCGGUGAAAUGCGUAGAUAUCGGAAGGAACACCUGUGGCGAAAGCGGCUCACUGGACCAUUACUGACGCUGAGGCGCGAAAGCUAGGGGAGCAAACAGGAUUAGAUACCCCUGUAGUCCCUGUCUCUUAUAC
rnacentral:rRNA from 1 species